rnacentral:rRNA from 1 species
CCUACGGGAGGCAGCAGUGGGGAAUAUUGGGCAAUGGGCGCAAGCCUGACCCAGCAACGCCGCGUGAAGGAAGAAGGCUUUCGGGUUGUAAACUUCUGUUGACAGGGAAGAGGAGAAGACGGUACCGGUCGAAUAAGCCAAGGCUACCUACGUGCCAGCAGCCGCGGUAAUACGGAGGUGGCAAGCGGUGUCCGGAUUUACUGGGUGUAAAGGGCGUGUAGCCGGGUUGACAAGUCAGAUGUGAAAUCCUGCGGCUUAACCGCAGAACUGCAUUUGAAACUGUUGAUCUUGAGUACUGGAGCGUCAGCCGGAAUUCCUCGUGUAGCGGUGAACUGCGUAGAUCUUAGGCGGAACACCAGUGGCGAAGGCGGUCUGCUGGACAGCACCUGCCGGUGAGGCGCG